CGGCAAAAGCUCAAAUUUGAAAUCUGGCUUUGUAUCAAAGUCCGAGUUGUAAUUUGUAGAGGAUACUUUUGAUGCGGUGCCUUCCGAGUUCCCUGGAACGGGACGCCAUAGAGGGUGAGAGCCCCGUCUGGUUGGAUGCCAAAUCUCUGUAAAGUUCCUUCAAC
rnacentral:rRNA from 1 species